rnacentral:rRNA from 1 species
AACGAACGUUGGCGGCGUGGAUUAGGCAUGCAAGUCGAACGGGGUUGGGGGCAACUCCAACCUAGUGGCGAACGGGUGAGUAACGCGUGGGAAACCUGCCCUUGAGAUGGGGAUAACACUUCUAACGAGGUGCUAAUACCGAAUAAGACCACGAAGUCGCAUGGCUUCGCGGUCAAAGAUGGCCUCUGCUUGCAAGCUAUCACUUAAGGAUGGUCCCGCGUCCCAUUAGCUAGUUGGUGGGGUAAUGGCCUACCAAGGCGACGAUCCAUAGCUGGUCUGAGAGGAUGAUCAGCCACACUGGGACUGAGACACGGCCCAGACUCCUACGGGUGGCAG